rnacentral:lncRNA from 10 species
UCCUGCCUCAGCCUCCCCGAGUAGCUGGGAUUACAGGCGACUGCCGCCACCACGCCCGGCUAAUUUUUUAAGUAUUUUUAGUAGAGACGGGUUUCACCGCGUUAGCCAGCAUGGUCUUGAUCUCCUGACCUCGUGAUCUGCCCUCCUCGGCCUCCCAAAGUGCUGGGAUUACAGGCGUGAGCCACCGCGCCCGGCCGACCCCUGUAGGGUUUUAAAGGAGAGAGGCAGCAUCCCAGAGGGCAAAAAGGGCUUCAUUCAUGGAGAAAGCAACUGAGCUGGGCAGAGCACAGACGGAAUUUGAAUUGGAGGCCAGAGGCAAAGGGAACUCCAAGUGGAAGAAGAAACGGCAUGAAAAAAGGGAUUGAGAAGGAAAAGGACAAGAUGGUUUGGAGAGAGAGCAACUUCAGCCUGGAAAAGCAGAAAUGAGAUGCGGCCAAGAAAAAGACUCCAGCCCAGCCUGCCUUGGUUCUAACCCUGACUGUUACUUAACCUCUUUCUGGCUCAGUCAAGAAACUUGAGCACUGCAAGAUGAUCAUGUGGAAUACCUACUUCAAACGGAUGUUAAGAGGAAAGAUUCAGGCUUUAGCGAUGACUGGAGGGUCAUUCGCUGGAAAGAAUUUCAUCAGUUGGAACUAAAUCAUGGUGAGCAAAAGAAAGUCUACCUAAGUGAUAUGGUUUGGCUCUGUGUCCACAUCCAGAUCUCAUCUCGAAUUGUAAUUCCCACAAGUUGUGGGACGGAGGUGAUUGAAUCAUGGGGGCAGGUGCCCCAAUGCUGUUCUGGUGAUAAUGAGUGAGUCCCCAAGAGAACUGAUGAUUUUAUAAGGGGCUCUUCCCCCUUCACUUUCUCUUCUCUCUCCUGCUGCCUUGUGAAGCAGGUGCCUGCUUCGCCUUCUGCCAUGAUUGUGUUUCCUGAGGCCUCCCCAGCCAUGCAGAACUUAGUGCCUCACUUUGGAGUCGGCUGAGAAGAUCAUUCCAGACGGGAGUUUUGACACUGUACAAAUGCACUGUCUUCACAUCUACGCUGACACCCCUGCCUUUCUACCUGCAGGUGUCUGUGGCUUACAAGCUGGUGCCUCCCACAGACCCUGUAGUUUGGAGCUAAUGAAGAGCUGAGAAGCUACCAGGAUCUGCAACUUUUUGCCUGAGGGUUUUCUCAGAAGACACAGAAACUGUUCUGCCUAUAAGCCUUGAAGUGCCAGGGAAUUAACACCUACCUUCCCACAGCCCUCCCCACAGUGACUGAUAGCAUUGAUAACGAUACCCAAGCUUCACCCCUCAGGUGGGAUAACUGAGCUGCUUGUUCUAUACCAUGUUCUAGAGUUUCUCCCAUGAGUUUAGGUUCUAAUCAUCCACAUGUAAAUUGCUUGAUAAGAAACCUUCAUUGACUCCUUGUCUCACUUCCCCUCCCCUUAUUUGUUUUGUUUGCACCUUUCAAAUAAACUAUUUUCAUUCAAAUC